GCGCCCGUAGCUCAGGGGAUAGAGCGUCCGCCUCCUAAGCGGUAGGUCGCAGGUUCGAAUCCUGCCGGGCGCA
rnacentral:tRNA from 1 species